CCACCCCACCAACAACCGUCCCACUCCACUCCCACACCACCCACACCCCAAUGUAGAUUGAGAUCCCCUCCACCGCCGGCCACCCCUUGCCCCUUCUCUCCUCUGCCGUCCACCCCCUGGUUCGCCCGUGUGCCCAUCAGCGCCCUUCUCAGAUCUGUCUCCUCCCUCCCCGCCACCAAGCUCGGCUCCGUUGCCAUCCUUCGGUUCGCCUACCAACCCAGACCCGAUCCGCACGGAGAGGGGAAGAAAUGGCAGUGGUCCUCGCAUGGCUUAACGCCAGGGUCGUCGAUCCCUUGCUGCAGUUAGUGGUUAUGGCAGGGACAGAGACGGCCACCGAGCGAGCGAGGGAGGGCCCAUGGCGCUCUCCUGCAUGAGCUGCCCGUUCGUUGCCGGCGGCCCCUCCGUGCGCCGGCCCGCGGCGAGUCCGCCCUCGUCGUCGUCGCCUUUUCCUUUGCCAGAUGCGUUGGGAGAUCGGCGGCCGCCGCCUCAGGGUGGCGCAUUGACGCCGUCGCCGGGAAUGGAGCAAAGGUUGAAGCUGUACAAUCGAGUUCCCCCCAAUGGAUUGGUGCUUUAUACUGGAGUUUUACAAUCCAUAGAACGCAUGGAGUUGGCCGGCGGCGGCAGAGUAUGGGAGCAGUGGUGGCGGCGUGGCAUAUCAGCUCUCCUAGAGUGAGCUAGUUGCAGUAGAGGCUAAGGAAAUGCAGUAGUGAACGCCAAAGAAAUAGAUACGAAACGUCCGCCCGCCCGCGCCACCGCCGAAUCCGGCAGCAAGCGCACCCGUGCGGCCGAGUUGCACAACCUCUCCGAGAAGGCGGUGUCCCGCUUCCCCAUCGUUAACCACUUUUCCCUGAGUUUCGCCCCGCUUUUCUACUGUUCUCUUCUCGCCCUAUUUUCUCGGCUGCUCAUUGCUUGCUUGCUUGAUUGGGGUGCAGCGGCGGAGGAGCAGGAUCAACGAGAAGAUGAAGGCAUUGCAGAGCCUGAUACCCAAUUCCAACAAGGUCGGCACCACAAAACCAGCAAGGCAUCCAUGCUUGACGAGGCCAUUGAGUAUCUGAAGCCACUGCAGCUCCAAGUACAUGAUAAUGAGAUGUUGAAGUGGCAGAGUGAAUCCAUGAGACUGUAGUGCAAUUGCACCGUUCCAUUGAACUGUUCAAGAAAUCUUCUGAUUCAACGAUUUAUCGCCCGAUUUAUCGCUACUCAUAGGGUGACCGAUAAGAUUAUGCCUUAUCUUCACCGUUUAUCUUUUUGGCCGAUUUAUCACUCUAACAAGUGAUUUAUCAUGAAUCUACCGAUAAAUCAGGCUUAUUCCUAACAUUAUGUUUGCAAAAACUAUGUUUGUUUGUGUUUUGUGGAUCUUGUUUUGCAAUAUGUACUACUCCCUCCAUUCCUUUAUAUAAGGUGAAAUUCCAGAA